AUUUUGUUUCCGGAAGCAACAUGUAUUUUUUGACGCUGUGUAGCCACAGAAUGUGAGAAAGACUGGCACGGGAGGAGGAGAAGAGAUUGUAGACGUGAGGGAUCGAUUUAAAGACCAGUAUUGUCAGGUGGCACAGAGUCUUUGAAGACACCGUCCACUUACCCCAGGCUGUUCCGCUGGAUUUGGAAACGUUUCCCAGAGGGUAACCGUAUAUUUGACCCGAUACAGGAUGUCUGGGCAGAGCAUUACUGACAGGAUAACCGCCGCUCAGCACAGUGUCACCGGGUCGGCGAUUUCGAAAACUGUGUGCAAGGCGACCACGCAUGAAAUAAUGGGGCCAAAAAAGAAACACUUGGAUUACUUGAUUCAGUGCACAAAUGAGAUGAAUGUGAACAUCCCUCAGCUGGCUGACACACUGUUUGAGAGGACCACGAACACCAGCUGGGUGGUUGUCUUCAAGUCCCUCACAACCACACACCAUCUGAUGGUCUAUGGCAAUGAGAGAUUUAUACAGUAUCUGGCUUCAAGGAACACACUCUUCAACCUAAGCAAUUUUUUGGACAAAAGUGGCCUACAAGGCUAUGAUAUGUCAACAUUCAUUAGGAGGUAUAGCCGCUACCUGAACGAGAAGGCUGUGUCCUACAGACAAGUUGCUUUUGACUUCACCAAAGUGAAAAGAGGGUCUGAUGGAGUGAUGAGAACCAUGAACACAGAGAAACUCCUCAAGACGAUCCCAAUCAUCCAAAACCAGAUGGAUGUGUUACUCGAUUUCAAUGUCAAUGCUAAUGAACUGACAAAUGGUGUGAUCAACGCAGCUUUCAUGCUUCUGUUCAAAGACGCAAUCCGACUGUUUGCAGCAUACAAUGAAGGCAUUAUCAACCUCCUGGAGAAGUACUUUGACAUGAAGAAAGUUCAGUGCAAAGAAGGACUUGACAUCUACAAGAAGUUUCUUACUCGAAUGACAAGAAUCUCUGAGUUCCUCAAAGUUGCAGAGCAAGUGGGAAUUGAUCGAGGGGACAUCCCAGAUCUGUCUCAGUUCACAGUUUGUGCCCCAAGCAGCCUGCUGGAUGCCCUGGAGCAGCACUUGGCCUCUUUAGAGGGAAAGAAAGUCAAAGACUCAACUGCAGCCAGCAGGGCUACUACCCUCUCCAAUGCUGUGUCCUCCCUGGCCAACACUGGCAUAUCUUUCACCAAAGUGGAUGAGAGGGAAAAACAGGCGGCCCUGGAAGAAGAGCAGGCUCGCCUAAAGGCACUAAAAGAGCAACGUCUGAAAGAGCUCCAGAAGAAUCCUGCAAUAGCAACCACAGACUCCUCCCCUUUAUCCACAACGGGUGGUACUAUCAACGUAGCCCCGUCCAUUGAUCUCUUCUCCACCACUGGCUCCACCAACAGCAACUCCAAGGCUGCCAAUGACCUGCUGGAACUGCAGCCAGCUUUCCAGCAGCCACUGCCUGUCUCCAGCUCAAACUCAUGGGGAGACUCCUUCUGUGGGCCAGGCCCUUACAACACCGCUCCUCUCUUCCAAUCUGAGCCCCCUGCCGUAGCUGGUCUGUUCAGAGGAUUUACAGCCUCCCCGACACCCCAGCAGCCACAUAAUUCUAGAGGCCUUAACAUUGACUUUGACUCAGUAUUUGGAAACAACACCAAUGCCAACAACCUGGAUUCUACAGAUGUUUUAGGUUGCAUCCUUAAACCCGAAGUGGCAUCCUCACCCAAUCAGGGCAUGACUCUACAUGGCCAACAGCCCCAAAAACUGGUGUCCAGUGACCUGGACUCAUCACUGGCCAAUCUUGUCGGCAAUCUGGCAAUUGGCAAUGGCACAGCAAAGAAUGAUCUUCACUGGAGUCAGCCUGGUGAGAAGAAACUAACUGGUGGAACCAACUGGCAACCCAAGACUGCCCCUUCUACCACCUGGAACCCAGCAGCCAUGGCACCAUCUGUCAUGACCUUCCCAGCAACCACACCAACAGGCAUGAUGGCAUAUGCAAUGCCUCCCCACAUGAGCUCCAUGAUGAUGACACAGCCAACUAUGAUUUACACCCAGCCUGUGAUGAGGCCAGCCAACCCCUUUGGCCCCAAUCCAGGUGCACAGCACUUACCUGCAAGAUGCUGACACAAUUGACUCCCCAGCUGGCUGCUUUGCACACCCUGCAAAUGUCUCAUCCCCUACUGAAUAAGGAUUGGAUGUGGGAGUUUGAGAACUACACUUGUAGUUUCAUGCAGAUGCAGUUUAUGUGACGGGGGCGGGGGGGAUCUUCCCAUUUAAAGAUAAUUCAUGACAAACUUAACAAUCCAAGCAAACAUGCAGUGUGCUUCUAAUGAAGUCACGUCUCUCUGAGAAUGAAAGGCCCAAAUAAGACUUGAAUAAAAUUAUGGUGACUAGGAGCCACUCUGGCCAUCUCAGAGAGGCAUAGUAGUGGACAUUGUGCCUGUUUAAGUCAUAGAAGAUGACGAAGAAGAAGAAGAAGCGUGCGUGCUGCCAUUCAAAACUAUGUGGACAUGGAUCAGCCCCUACUUUAUCCUGGACUCAGAGAAACACCCAAUGGAAGAGCAUUCUGACAUCACUGUUGAUGUACCUGGAAAAAAUACACAUCUAGUUGGGUUGUUGUCACACUGUUUGGAUUGUCAUUUUUUGUUCCUCUUUCUCCAGGUGAGGCUUGAAGUAACUGUUUUGAUUAUUAAUCAUGAUUACCUGCUUAAAGUUUGCCCAGAUUAGGAAAACAAUUGCAACUCCUUGUAAUAGCACAUAUUUUUGUUUUCUUUCUUUUUGUUAUGUAUUGUUUGGAGUAGACAUUCCUUGUGUAUCAUUUGUAUUUAUUUAUGAUUACCUACAGAGAGGAUGACAUUUAAAAAAAGAAAUGUAAAUGUAACUAGUCACUGACCUCCAGCUUGUGGAAGGUCUUCAGGUUUAUACAUUGGUAUGAUUGAUUGUAGAUUUGGAUUUUGAGUGUUUGAGAUGAUUUUUCUUUUUUUCUAAAAGUUAAUAUAAAGUUUGAAAAGAUGACACACUUUGCUGUUUGGGCACUAAAUUCUCUGUGCUCAGAUGAUGCCUUGUACAGUUAUCUGUGGUUCGUACUGAGGAUGUGUAUGGACAUAGUAAUUCAUUAACUGUCAAAUUAGUGGGGUCAUUUUGUAUGAAUUUGGGGGCAUUUUUCACAUCAGCAAAAGCACUACAUUUUGUGACUGAGGCGACACUGCAUUCGAAAGGAAUCUGCAUUUAUGCUUAUGAUGCUUUUGGCAUGCCAUUUAUUCUUACAUUUAACAAAGCUGCUGGCUGCCUUUUUCUUGCCCUUAACUUAAAUGUGCAGGGUCUCUUUGAUGCUCACAUCAUGUUUCCAUAGGCCAGCACUGUUUGGACAAUCUGUGGGCUUUGGAGGAUUUGGCUGUACAUUCAGGACAGACUGGUAACAGAGGGGUGGUGAUGUGGAUGGGGUCGUGGGCAUGCUAGUUGUGCAGGAGAAUAGAGCACUGUUGAUCGGUGCUUUGUGUAAAUAAACAUCCGGCCUACCACAUGAAUGGGACGAGUAAAAGAAGAUGGUCUGGACAUAAACGUGACCCUUACUACAUUAACCCAGCAUAAUUUCUGCAUUGUCCCUGCAGACUAUAUUUUUGUUUGUUUGAUUUUUCCAAUAAAGUGCAAGCUUCAACA